GGAGUUGUGGCUCAGUGGUAGAACAUCUGUUUUACAUGCAGAUUUUCCUGGGCUUAAUAUCUGGCAUCUCUA
rnacentral:tRNA from 1 species